CAGUCGCCACGGGAAUACGAAGGGUGCAAGCGUUAAUCGGAAUUACUGGGCGUAAAGCGUGCGUAGGCGGUUUGUUAAGUCUGCUGUGAAAUCCCCGGGCCCAACCUGGGAAUGGCAGUGGAUACUGGCAAGCUAGAGUGUGUCAGAGGAUGGUGGAAUUCCCGGUGUAGCGGUGAAAUGCGUAGAUAUCGGUAGGAACACCAGUGGCGAAGGCGGUCUCCUGGAGCUUGCUUGACGCUGAGACGCGAAAGCUGGGGGAGCGAACGGGAUUAGAUACCCCGGUAGUCCCUGUCUCUUAUAC
rnacentral:rRNA from 1 species